AUGCACAGCCAAGAGCUUAACACUAAGCAGUUACAGGAAGUAGUAGAGAUGAAGCAAGCAACAACAUUUAGUUCCAGCAUAUUAUCAGUGGAUCCUAGCAUGGGAUCCAUGACACGGAAGAUAAAUAUACUCCAACCAAAUUUGAACAAGCAAGAAGUGUGGGGUGUAAUUAAGCACCUCAGUAGAUGGUCAGGCAGGGGAAGUGGCAGACGGAGGUGCGGCAACCUCAAGAACGUGGACACCAUGGGGCUCCCCGUCGCCAACGACAUCACGCACCUCACCACCCAGGCCCAGGUCCACCUCGGCAAGAUGCUCGCCGAUGCAUACAUCGCCAUCCUCUGA
rnacentral:rRNA from 1 species